AUUCUGAAAGCAGCAAAGCAAGCUAGAGGAAAACGUAUCCAAAACUCCGUAUCACAGCGGAUCUUCUCCUCUGAUCUGAAAAGCUUCACAGGCCAAAAGAGAAUUGAGAUGAAGAAGGAAAUAGAGAAUGCUGACCAGUAUUUCCAAUUACCACCCACACCACCCGGCUAGCCAAGCUAAACCAUUGAAAAUGGAAGGAGUGGGACAUCUUCAAAAGCCUGCUGCUGCUUCUAAGCAGAACUGCGCUGUAGGUGGGGACACAGCAAGAGGACACGUCCAGGCCACGGUGGAACUGCAAGGCACCUGUCUAAGCCACAGAAGGAAGUCAGCGCUUCCCAGUUGGAGACUGUUGCUCGCCUAGGGACACAGCAGCUGGAGCGCUUCUGGUUGCUGCUGAUGGGUUCCCGUGAAUCAGCCAGGGAUAGCAGCUAUGAGAACGACUGAAGCAAUCUGAAGAUACCUGAAAGAAAGAAAAGAGGAGAGAAGAAGACAAGA